rnacentral:rRNA from 1 species
AGGGACCUUCGGGCCUCUUGCCAUCGGAUGUGCCCAGAUGGGAUUAGCUAGUAGGUGGGGUAACGGCUCACCUAGGCGACGAUCCCUAGCUGGUCUGAGAGGAUGACCAGCCACACUGGAACUGAGACACGGUCCAGACUCCUACGGGAGGCAGCAUG